rnacentral:tRNA from 1 species
GCUGGGUGGCUCAGUCGGCUAAGCAUCUGACUUCAGCUCAGGUCAUGAUCUCAUGGUUUGUGGGUUCAAGUCCCACACCAGGCC